rnacentral:rRNA from 1 species
UACAGAGGGGGCAAGCGUUAUUCGGAAUUAUUGGGCGUAAAGGGCGCGUAGGCGGCUUGGCAAGUGGAAGGUGAAAUCCCUCGGCUUAACCGAGGAACUGCCCUCCAAACUGCUUCGCUUGAGACCGGGAGAGGUGAGUGGAGUUCCCAGUGUAGCGGUGAAAUGCGUAGAUAUUGGGAGGAACACCAGUGGCGAAGGCGGCUCACUGGACCGGUACUGACGCUGAUGCGCGAAAGCGUGGGGAGCAAACGGG